rnacentral:rRNA from 1 species
AAAAGAAACCAACAGGGAUUGCCCCAGUAACGGCGAGUGAAGCGGCAACAGCUCAAAUUUGAAAUCUGGCCUCGGCCCGAGUUGUAAUUUGCAGAGGAAGCUUUAGGCGCGGCACCUCCUGAGUCCCCUGGAACGGGGCGCCACAGAGGGUGAGAGCCCCGUAUAGUUGGAUGCCCAGCCUGUGUAAAGCUCCUUCGACGAGUCGAGUAGUUUGGGAAUGCUGCUCAAAAUGGGAGGUAAAUUUCUUCUAAAGCUAAAUACCGGCCAGAGACCGAUAGCGCACAAGUAGAGUGAUCGAAAGAUGAAAAGCACUUUGAAAAGAGGGUUAAAUAGCACGUGAAAUUGUUGAAAGGGAAGCGCUUGUGACCAGACUUGCGCCGGGCUGAUCAUCCGGUGUUCUCACCGGUGCACUCGGCCCGGCGCGGGCCAGCAUCGGCUCCCGCGGGGGGACAAAGGCCCCGGGAAUGUAGCUCCCCAGGGAGUGUUAUAGCCCGGGGCGCAAUGCCCCCGCGGGGACCGAGGUACGCGCUCCGCAAGGAUGCUGGCGUAAUGGUCACCAGCGACCCGU